AUAUCCUACGGGGGGCAGCAGUAGGGAAUCUUCCACAAUGGACGAAAGUCUGAUGGAGCAACGCCGCGUGAGUGAAGAAGGGUUUCGGCUCGUAAAACUCUGUUGGUAGUGAAGAAAGAUAGAGGGAGUAACUGGCCUUUAUUUGACGGUAAUUACUUAGAAAGUCACGGCUAACUACAUGCCAGCAGCCGCGGGAAUACGUAGGUGGCAAACGUUGUCCGGAUUUAUUGGGCGUAAAGCGAGUGUA
rnacentral:rRNA from 1 species